ACUCCUACGGGAGGCAGCAGUGGGGAAUAUUGCACAAUGGGCGCAAGCCUGAUGCAGCCAUGCCGCGUGUGUGAAGAAGGCCUUCGGUUGUAAAGCACUUUCAGUCGUGAGGAAGGUAGUGUAGUUAAUAGCUGCAUUAUUUGUACGUUAGCGACAGAAGAAGCACCGGCUAACUCCGUGCCAGCAGCCGCGGUAAUACGGAGGGUGCGAGCGUUAAUCGGAAUUACUGGGCGUAAAGCGCAUGCAGGUGGUUUGUUAAGUCAGAUGUGAAAGCCCGGGGCUCAACCUCGGAAUUGCAUUUGAAACUGGCAGACUAGAGUACUGUAGAGGGGGUAGAAUUUCAGGUGUAGCGGUGAAAUGCGUAGAGAUCUGAAGGAAUACCGGUGGCGAAGGCGGCCCCCUGGACAGAUACUGACACUCAGAUGCGAAAGCGUGGGGAGCAAACAGGAUUAGAUACCCUGGUAGGACAGUG
rnacentral:rRNA from 1 species